AAAAACCACCUAAAUCCUACCAUUGCUUUAAGCAAUGUUAACGUUUUCUUGCAGAUCCCUUACUGUAAAGGCGCAAUUGUACAUAUGCAAGUAUAUGAUCUUGGUUAGAUAAGUUCUCGAAGCUUCGGAAACCCUUCACUGGGGAAGUAUGUGAAAGAACUAACCCCGAGCCUACUGGAGUCAGACUCAGACUUCUAGAGCCUUGCCACUCCUGAGGAGGCCAGCUCUUCUCCCCUGUCCUCGAGCCUGGGCAGCGUUUUAUGAUUGCCUUGACUGGCAGAGCCCAGGAGAAGAGCACCAACUUCCAAGGCUAGGCACAGAAGGUGACUGGCUUCAGCUUUCUCUCGGUGCAUGUUGUCAUGAAGCCCAGCCCACACGAAGAGGCCCCAGCCAACGUUGUGGUCAACAGCUAUCAACCACCAGGUUGAGCUCACCAGUGAAGAUUUUUGUGGCAAUGCUAGAAGUUCUGGAGCAGGAAAGUGAAGGGGCAGGGAAGAACCCUGUAUCUGUUUGUUCUGUUUCAGGGAAUGAGAAGAAAACAGGAUUGAA